UAUUUUGCCCAUCUCUAUUCUCCACCAUAUCAGUUGCUCUCUGUUGCCGGUGCAGUUCCUCUAUCGGUUCCUCAUACGAUUCUCUCUCUUAUCAGAAACCCAAAUCCAAACCCAGUAACCAACACCCAGAUCGUUAUGCUUUCACGGAACCCCUAUCAGAGGAAACGCUCUUCCUUUCAUCUCUAGGUUUUGACAGUUUGAUGAGCUAGAAGGCGCCAUGUUUGGAUUGCCAUUUUUCAGUCAUACUUGGGCAUCGGGCAGUUCUAUCUCUAUUGGCAUCUGAAGCAAAUAAGAGUCCUCCCAUAGAGGUAUUCCUUUCUUACUUUCUUUAUCCCUUCAUUUUCUUUCCUCUUGUAAAUUGUGUGGUUUUUCUUUAUCUUUGAAUUUGAUAAUUAUUCAUGACUUCUGUGAGAGGGACAAGUACUGCAUUUUCUACUUCCUAGCAGAUUGUUGUGUGAAUCGUAAACAGUAAAAACUACAUAUUAUUACUUGUAAAAUGAUUAAUGGCUACAAUUUGAUUAUUUCGGUCACACGUCAAACCAGCAUCCAUAAAUUAAAGGUGCAACACCUUAUUUGGGAUAAAGUGUGAACUUAAUUUUCAUUGUGCCAUAUAGCAUAUUAAGUCACCCGUCAAACCCUAUAAAUUGUUUCCUUAUAUUAAUGCAAUAGAUUGUGAUUCACCUUUUAUAUAUACUCUGAGGGCAAGUUUAGUAAACUGCCGUUUGUUCAUGGUAAAUGGAUUCAAUGAUUAUGACAAGUUCAACAUUUUUUUUAACAAACGAUAUUAUCUACACUAAAAGGAGAU
rnacentral:sRNA from 1 species